rnacentral:lncRNA from 1 species
UUUUUUUUUGGUUGGUAGUAUGCAUACUGCUGCAUCAUGCCACUUAGCUUCAUCAAGCAACCGAAAGAAGCAUCUGCACAACAUUUUCCAUGGUGGGCCUUUUUCUACCAUCUUCUUCCACGCAUGAAACAGCCAGCUUGACCAUCAUUCUUGCUUGCAAGUUAUCGAACUGGCUGUUCAACCUCAAGUCAAUGAAGUCAGCCACCCAUAACUGUUGGCUGCCCUCCAGCUCCAGCAUCAGAUUUUCUGUAAGCAUCCUAACAACCCUUCCAAGGACUGUCUCCACUUCCUCGUCGGCAUUUGAUGCCCAGUCUGAAACACGAGCCCCCUUGAGUAGUUCUAGGAGAACCACUCCGAAGCUGUAGACAUCUACCUUUGCUGUUAUUGGAUGGCCAGAAACCCACUCAGGAGCUAUGUAACCUCUAGUUCCACGGACCCUCGAUACAUUUUUAUUGGAUCCACCUCUGUUCACAAGUUUUGCAAGGCCAAAGUCGGUGAUCUUUGGCUCCAAGUUUUCAUCCAACAGUAUAUUCUCAGGCUUCAGGUCACAAUGGAUAACCCAUUCCAAGCACUCAUGAUGAAGAUAGGCCAAUCCUUUUGCCACCCCUAGGGCAACCUUAAAUCUUUGGUUCCAUUCGAGUAAGAUCUGUGGGGCCUUGCUACUAAACAGGGUUUUAUCCAACGAAGCAUUCUCAACGUACUCUAAGACCAAUAUCCUGUGUGGACCAUCAGAACAGAACCCCCAAACCCUCACCAGAUUCAUAUGGUAAAUCUUUCCAAUCACACUCAGUUCAUGCUGGAAUUCUUCUUCGCCUUGGUUUAUGUCUGCCAACCUUUUCACCGCUACUACCCUCUUGUCUUUCAAGACCCCCUUGUAUACAAUACCAGAUGCCCCGCAUCCAAUCUGGUCCUUGAACUUUCGAGUUGCCCUCUGCAACUCCUUGUAAGUGUAUCUGCGGAAAUGGUUAGUUAUCAUUUCAUAGCCAACCUCAGCUGGCCAUACUCCUGUUAACUGCUUGCCCUCCUUUCUCAGCACAAACCAGCAUCCGAAUGCCACAAAUAUUACCUCUACACAAAAUAUCGCUGACAAGAAUACAUACAAGUACAAGUACUGUGGGUGUGAUCCACUCUGACUGCUCUUAGGUUGAUCCAGAAAAUCUGUAGUGAAAAUUUUGUUCUUUGCACUACAGUUAGGAGCAUAUCUAUGACCAAAAGGUUGUGAGUGAGGAAUUGAGGACUCUGAGACCUGUAAUGUCUUGGGAAGCUUGAGAUAGAUAGAACGACCCAAACCCGGGCUGGUUACACCACCAACAAGGGAUGACUUUGGAUAGCACUUCCACUUCCCUGCCAGUAUGAGAAACCUUUGCAAUUGCAGUUGUUCAAGCAUAUCUUCCUGCAUGUAUGGAAUGAAACUGAUGUACUGCUACUUUGAUCAUUACCUCGGAAGUCGGUGUUGUGUAGCUUCACAAACAUCUCCUGCCCAUCACAACUGAGAUUGAAUUUUGGCCUGCAACCUUUGCUCCGGUCCCUUUGGUCAAUGAUCUCAUGUCCAGGGGCACAUGCACAAGCUGGCCUAGGUGUAUACACACAUAUUCCAUUCAUACCACAGAGACCACGUACAGAGCAGGUCCGAGGAUAUGCCAUCCAUGUGACCGACCAUCUUCCAUCUGACUUAUUAGACUGUAUAAUCUAAGGUUGCCAUCAUAAUUCAAUGUUAGCCUCCUCAUAACCUUGAGACCCCAGUCAGUCGCCUUAAAAGUUAAAUUGUCACUUCCAAGGAAAUAACCUGAGCUAUCUAGGACCCCAAUUGUGGUGGUAUUAAAUGAGCUUCUUUGCUUUUCCCAGAUAUUCUUAUUAGGAUCUGGCCAAUAGAUAAAAGAGAUAUCCGUCUGAUCAUAAAACAGUGUGAGUAAAUGUUGAUCAUCAAAAUGGAAGCUGUAGCGCCCAGGAACAAGUAACCUAUUAGCAGAUACCAACUUUGUAGCAGAAGUAAUGUUCUGAUUUGGCAGCAAUGUAUCAGUAGGAGAAUCAAAACUUUGCCACAAAAUGAUAUCACCUUGGCCCUUCAUGAUGAGGUUCCCGGUGUCCAACAACUGGACUUGUUCGGCUUUUGAUGAAGAACUGACAUUGGUUUCCCACACGGCCUGGCCAUUGUAAUCUUUUACAACCAUUCUGCCAUCCGCAUAUAGCAUGACUUGGGAUCCCCAGGAGUACACGGGGUGGAGAUGAUUUGCACUCCAGACGACAGUCUUUUCAUGAGCUGUGUUGGAGAACCAAAUAGAGAAAACGAAGGCAUUCCCAGAAAUGUUGUUGAAGCCGCAGGUGAAAGUACCAUCUGGUGAAUGGAGCACGUCAGAGCUAUCCUCUACGGAGAGAGAGGAGCCUGGCGAGAGGAAUUCACGAGCCGAGAUCCGCAAAAACAGAUGAAUCAGAUUUAGAAGAAGCAGAGAGGUGGAGUGUAUUUCCAUAUUUGUUGAGGCACUCUAGUUGAUCUUUGGAAUGUACACAAAUGGAAACUACUCAGCUACUGUAUAUAGGAACCAACUAGAGGAAGCAAUAUGCUUCUAUAAUUCAAUACGACACUGAUAGGUGCUUGUCCUUUUGUUGAGGGCGAUAGUUUGCUCUUGUUUGUCAACCAGUCAAUCAAUGGUCAGCUGUAAUUUCUUUGUUUCUUGAAUAUGCGCGUUGUAGAAUUAUCUUUUAUUUCAGCUGGCUGAAGUAUACUCCUGAAAUAAGGCUCCAGGCUCCCAAGCCAUCAUUCAAUUUGGGCCACUCAUUGCCUAAUCUGACCAUCCAUUACAUAGUAGAUAAGUCAAAAAACAUACCCUACUUGUUUCAAACUUCCAAUUGUGUGGUGACAACGAUUUGGCUACUCCCUCAGUUCACUAUUAUAAGAUAAGAUGUUCUACUCCAUCCGAUCCAUAUUAAUUGUCGUUGAUUUUGUACAACUUUGUGCUAAAUCAGCGACAAUUAAUAUGGAACUGAGUAAAAAAAAAAGAUUUGGAUGUAUAUAAGAUGCAUUUUAGUGUGUUGGUUCACUCAUUUCAUUCUGUAUAUAGUCCAUAUUGAAAUAUUCAAAACAUCUCAUAUGUGUGAACGGAGGGAGUAUUUCCUAUAAAGGUUGCUGGCCAGGUCCACAUUUUUUCAUGUCACCUUCUCUCAAUCGCUUCUUGUCCUUCUCUCGAAUGACAACUUGUUCUGUGCAGUCAACAAUUCAACUGUAUACUCCUGCAAUGAAGCUCUGGGGGUAUGAUUCGAGCCACUCGUGCUUCAACCAAUCAUCCAUCAUACAGCUGGCAAGUGAAAUAAGUCUUUAUUAUUUCAGCAGUUGCUUGCUAUCAGAAAGAAACCGCAAACUUGGCAACAUAUGGACUUCAGCAGACAGAGAAGUCUUCAUUUUUUCAAAAGAAACCGACAUAACAGUAAUGGAAAUUCAAACGGUGAACAUUGACGCCUGGAAAAUAACAGUUAGUUCAUGCAUUGCAGCACAUGAUUCACAGUCAACAUUUUUUGUCAAGUUGACAAUGUCAGGAAUAAUUCAACAUAUUAACAUUUUUUGAAUACAUGGUCAACAUUUAUUUCUAUACAAAUUUUACAGUUUUUCAAAUCCUUGAUUAACAUUUUAACAAGAGCAAGUUCAACAUUUUUUCAAUAAAUGGUCAAUAUAUUUUCUGUUCACAUUUAACAUUUUCUUAAAUACUUGAUUAAAAUUUCAAAAACUAGAUUAACAUAUUUAUAAUAUAUUGCCAAGAUUUUUUAUACACAUUUAACAUUUUUUUCAAAUGUGAUGUUAAUUUUUUCAAAUCUAAGUUUAAUUUUUUUUAAAUACAUGGUCAACAAGUUUUCCAUUCAUGGUCAACAAAAUGAUAUUUUUCCAAUGCUUGUUAACAAUUUUUGAAAUACAAAUUUAAAAUUUUCUGAAUACAUGGUCAACAUUUUUCUAUACACAUUUAACAUUUUUCAAAUGCUUAAUCAAUGUUGUUAAAUACUUGUUUAACAUUUUUUUCAAUUGCUUGGAUUAACUUCUUUUAAAUACUUGGUCAACUUUUUUCACACUCACUAUAUAUUUUUUGUAUACUUGAGAAACAUUUUCUCUAUGUACGUCUAAUAGUUUUCAAAUGCUUAGUUAGCACUUUUUUGAAAUAUUUUAUUUAAUGUGUUUUUUUAAUAUAUUUGUUUAGAAUAGUUGGAAGUAUAAAUGAAACUACAAAAUGAAGGAGAAAACAAAACUAAUGUGAAAAGAAAAACAACAAAAGAACGAAGCAGUGGCCUCCUGUGCACUGGGCUGGACCAUACGCUCGCGCGACAGGAGGCCAGUGAGUCGGAAUGUUGCCUCGCUAGAAGCAAGGUAUAGCUGCGCUGCGCUAGAAGCGAUCACCGCAGGUUUCAAACUCGGGAUCUCUGGUGUAGAGAGCAGUGCAACGACCACCACGACAACGAAGCACUAGUGGCUAUGAACAUCAAUCCUUUGCUUUAUUCCUGCAGAUUUUGAGAGCCCCUGAUUUUGGGAAGUUUCCCAAACCAGUUAUUUCACUCGUUCGCUGAUUUAUGGGUGUUUUUUAUUCUUUUUUUUCUUGUUCCUUUUUCAUUUUAUUUUCAUUUUUCUUUUUUCUCUUAAAUGCUUGAACUUUUUUCAAAUUUGAUGAAAUGUUUUUAAUUCAGUGAACUUUUUGUCAAAAAUGAUGAACUUUUUUAAAAUCAGUGAACUAUUUUCAAAAUUGAUGAACUCUUAUUUGAAAUCGAUGAACUUUUUUCAACAUCGACAAACUCUUUUUUUUAAAUUGACUAACUCUUUUUUAAAAUUGAUGAACUUUUUUCAAAACCAACAAUUUUGUUUUCAUUUUUGAUGAACUUUUCUCCAAAAUCAAUGAAUUUGUUUUCAUAUUUGAUGAUUUUUUUCAAAAUCAAUGGUUUUUUUAAAUUCGUGAACUUUUUUAUGUUUCUGGACUUUCUUUCCAAAAGUCAUUUAAAAAAUGAAUUCAAGAUUUUCUUUGAUUUUUUUUGUCAAAAAGUUGACCGGUCAACUGGCUGGCUAUUGAUCGGUCAACCGUGAUCGGAGGGAGCAAAGGAGGCGAUCGAGCGGGGCAAAGGAGGCGAUCCUUGGCCGGCCCAGUUCACAUGCCCGUGGGCGCCUGAACUGCCAAUAGGCGCUAAAGGCGCCCGUUAGGGUGAGCAACUAGUUAAUUUGCGCUCCUUCGUGAACCUCGCAACGAUCAGCGCCACUCGGCUCGCUCUUAGCCAUUUGCCACGUGUCGCGCUCUGGACGCUCCCUUCAGAUUUUGUUUUUAUUUUUAUUUUUCCGCACGCGUUUUCGGCUUUUUAAAUGUCCUUUUUUUUGGUUUUUUUUGACGUUUUGGUUUCCCCUGGUCUUUCUUAGCUUUUCGUUAAAAAAUAUUUUUGAAAAAAAAUCUGCACGAAAAAAAUGUGUUUUCUGUUUUUUUUUCCCGAGAGUCACGGUUUUUGCUUUCGCGAGAGGCACGGUUGUGUUUUCGCGAGUCACGGUUGUGUUUUCGCGAGAGUUAUGAGCGUGCCUCUCGGGAAGGGAAAAACAAAACGNNNNNNNNNNNNNNNNNNNNNNNNNNNNNNNNNNNNNNNNNNNNNNNNNNNNNNNNNNNNNNNNNNNNNNNNNNNNNNNNNNNNNNNNNNNNNNNNNNNNNNNNNNNNNNNNNNNNNNNNNNNNNNNNNNNNNNNNNNNNNNNNNNNNNNNNNNNNNNNNNNNNNNNNNNNNNNNNNNNNNNNNNNNNNNNNNNNNNNNNNNNNNNNNNNNNNNNNNNNNNNNNNNNNNNNNNNNNNNNNNNNNNNNNNNNNNNNNNNNNNNNNNNNNNNNNNNNNNNNNNNNNNNNNNNNNNNNNNNNNNNNNNNNAAAACGAAACACAUUUUUUGUUUUUUUUUCUUUUACGAGAGUAGCGGUUUUGCUUCCGCGAGAGGUACGGUUGUGCUUUCGCGAGAGUCACAGCCGUGCCUCUCGGAAAGGAAAAAAAAUACGCUUUUUUUUUAUUUCGCGAGAGUCAUGGUUUUGUUUUCGCGAGUGGCAUGGUUGUGCUUUCGCGAGAGUCACGACCGUGCCUCUCGGAAACGAAAAAAAAUGCGUUUAUUGUUUAUUUCCUUCCACGAGAGGCACGAUUGUGAUUUCGCGAGAGGCACGGGUGUGCCUCUUUCAGGAAGGGAAAAAACCAUGCUCCCGGUUCAGUUUUUUCGUCUGGUUUUUUGUCCGGUUUUUUUUGAAAAAAUAAGUUCGUCAAAACCUAUCAACAUGCGACCUAGUUUUGAAGAUCUCGACGCGAGAAAUAUAAUGGUGAAAACGGUUCGAGAUUUGGACGCACGGUUUGGGAGAUAAAACGUUUUGAAUAAAUGGAUAUAUGAGAAAAGGGAAAACUCUCAGGUUGCGACAAAUGACACGCUGCAUGUGCGCCACUUGUAGCGACCUGAGAAAGUGGAGUGUUCUUUAAAACGAGUACUCCUUAAUUAGUGAUUUCGCUCGUUAGGAGCUCCCGAAGAGAGCGACAGUGGGUUGGCCCUGCACGAUGGAGGCCGCAGGCCUUAGAUUUUCAGUUUUGUUUUUGUUUUUAUGCGUUGUUGGUUUUCGGGUUUUUGCUUUCUUUUUUUAUGUUGCUUUACACUUAUAGAUAUUCUAAAUAUAUAUUACAAAUAACACUAUACACAAAAUGUUGAAAAAUUGUAAUCAUGCAUUUGAAAAUAUUAAAUGUCUAAUAGAAGAAAGUAUACAAAAAGUGUACAAUGUGUAUGGAAAAAAGUAGGCAUAAAAAUACAAGGAUUCAAAAAUGUUAAACAUGUAAUAGAAAAAUGUUAAACGUGUAUAUAUGAGUACGCAAAUUAACAAUGUUUAUUAAAAAAGAUAGACAUCAAACGAUAUACGUUUUAAAGAUGUUAAUCAUGUAUAUGUAUUUUGAAAAUGUUAAAUAUGUAUAUAUAAAGUGUUCCUAAUGUAUACAGAAAAUAAACAAUAUUUAUAGAAAAAGUAGACAUUAAUAAUUAUAUAUUUAGAAAAAUGAUAAUCUUGUAUUUUCAAAAUGUUUAACGUGUAUCCAAAAACAUUUCUGAUGUAUACAAAAAAAUGUACGGUUGUAAGGAAAGAAGUAGAUAUAAAAAUUAUAUUUUAAAAAAUAUAUGUAUUUCCAAAAUGGUAAAUGCGUAUAUAUAUAAAACGUCAUGAUGUAUACAAAAAAUGUACCAUAUGUAUGGAAAAAAUAUGGCUAUAAAAAUAUAUAAGUUUUCAAAAAUGUUAAUCAUGCAUUUCCAAAAAUAUGCUUGGGUGGUAGUACUGCUCCCCAGAGCAGUAUUAUCGCUCCUAUGCGGGCUGCACACUGAAUAAUGGUUGGAUUUGUUCCCCGCUAUAUAAAGGGGGCCAAGAAGACCACCUCUUCCUUCAAAACUUCAUUGUUGCUUCAAAAGCUUAGUUUCUCCCGAUCUCUCUCCGUAAACAAUCAAACUUGUAGAUUCUUUAAGAAUUGGUUGAGAAGGCCCCGAUCUACACUUCCAUCAAGAGAAAUUUGAUUUCCCUCACUAAUUCCUUGCGGAUUUUGUUACUCUUGGGUGUUUGAGCACCCUAAACGAUUGAGGUCACCUCGGAGCCACAUUCCAUUGUGGUGAAUCUUCGUGGUGGAGUUGGGUGUUGGGAACGUAACAAUUCAAAAAAAUUCCUACGAUCACAUAAGAUCUAUCUAGAAGAUGCAUAGCAACGAGAUAGGAGAGUAUAUCCACAUACCCUUGUAGACCAAAAACAAAAGCUUUAGUAACGCGGUUGAUGUAGUCGAACAUCUUCCAGAUCCAACCGAUCCAAGUACUGAACGUAUGGCACCUCCGCGUUCAGCACACGUUCAGCUCGAUGACGUCCCUCGUGCUCUUGAUCCAGUUGAGGACGAGGGAGAGUUCCGUCAGCAUGACGGUGUGGCGACGGUGACGAUGAAGUUACCGGUGCAGGGCUUCGUCUAAGCACUAUGAUGAUAUGAUCAAGAUGUGUAACUGUGGAGGGGGGCACCACACACAGUUAAGAGAGAACUUGAUGUGUUCUAGGGUGCCCUCCUGCCCCCGUAUAUAAAGGAGGGAGGGGGAGGCCGGUCGGCCCUUGCUAGGCGCGUCGGGAGAGGGGAGUCUUACUAGGACUCCAUGUCCUAGUAGGAUUCCGCCUAAAGGAGAAGGGGGAAGGAAGGGAGAGGAAGGGCGCGCCCCCAACCCCUUGUCCAAUUCGGACUGGGCUCUGGGGGAGGGGGCGCCACCUCCUGGCCGCUGCCUCCUUUUCCCACUAAGGCCAACUAAGGCCCAUCAACUCCCCGGGGGGUUCCGGUAACCACCCGAUACUCCGAAAAAUGCCCGAACCAUUCCGGAACCUUUUCGGUGUCCGAACAUAACCUUCCAAUAUAUCAAUCUUUAUGUCUCGACCAUUUCGAGACUCCUCGUCACGUCCAUGAUCUCCAUCCGGGACUCCGAACAAAGUUUGGUCAUCAAAUCACAUAACUCAUAAUACAAAUCGUCAUCGAAUGUUAACCGUGUGGACCCUACGGGUUCGAGAACUAUGUAGACAUGAUCGAGACACAUCUCUGAUCAAUAACCAAUAGUGGAACUUAAAUACCCAUAUUGGUCCUACAUAUUCUAUGAAGAUCUUUAUCGGUCAAACCGCAUACAAAAUAUGUUGUUCCCUUUGUCAUCGGUAUGUUACUUGCUCGAGAUUUGAUCGUUGGUAUCUUCAUACCUAGUUCAAUCUCGUUACUGGCAAGUCUCUUUACUCCUUCCGUAAUGCUUCAUCCCGCAACUAACUCACUAGUCACAUUGUUUGCAAGGCUUAUGGUGAUGAGCAUUACCGAGAGGGCCCAGAGAUACCUCUCCGAUACACGGAGAGACAAACCCUAAUCUCGAUCUAUGUCAACCCAACAAACACCUUCGGAGACACCUGUAGAGCAUCUUUAUAAUCACCCAGUUACGUUGUGAGUUUGAUAGCACACACGGUGUUCCUUCGGUAUUCUUUAGUUGCAUAGUCUAUAGUCAGAGGAACAUGUAUAAGUCAUGAAGAAAGCAAUAGCAAUAAACUUAACUAUCAUUAUGCUAAGCUAACAGAUGGGUCUUUUCCAUCACAUCAUUCUUCUAAUGAUGUAAUCCCGUUCAUCAAAUGACAACACAUGUCUAUGGUUAGGAAACAUAACCAUCUUUGAUUAACGAGCUAGUCAAUAGAAGCAUACUAGGGACUAUAUGUUUUGUCUAUGUAUUCACACAUGUACUAACUUUCCGAUUAAUACAAUUCUUGCAUGAAUAAUAAACAUUUAUCAUGAAAUAAGGAAAUAUAAAUAACAACUUUAUUAUUGUCUCUAGGGCUUAUUUCCUUCAGUCUCCCACUUGCAUUAGAGUUAAUAAUCUAGAUUACAUAGUAAUGAUUCUAACACCCAUGGAGUCUUGGUGCUGAUCAUGUUUUGCUUCUGGAAGAGGCUUAGUCAACGGGUCUGCAACAUUCAGAUCCAUAUGUAUUUUGUAAAUGUCUAUGUCUCCCUCCUUGACUAGAUCGCGGAUGGAAUUGAAGCGUCUUUUGAUGUGUUUGGUUCUCUUGUGAAAUCUGGAUUCCUUCGCCAAGGCAAUUGCCCCAGUAUUGUCACAAAAGAUUUUCAUUGGACCCGAUGCACUAGGUCUAGAUCGGAUAUGAACUCCUUCAUCCAGACUCCUUCAUUUGCUGCUUCCGAAGCAGGUAUGUAGUCCUCUUCACACGUAGAUCCUGCCACGAUGCUCUGCUUGGAACUGCCACUAGUGCAGAACCGGGCUAUAGCCCCGGCUCGUAAGGGGCUUUAGUGCCGGUUCUGCAACCGGCACUAAAGGGUGGGGACUAAAGGUCCCCCCCCCUUUAGUACCGGUUCGGCACGAACCGCCACUAAAGGGCAACCACGUGGCACGAACUGGGGCCGGGUGACGGGAGACCUUUAGUACCGGUUGAUAACACCAACCGAUACUAAAUGUUUGGGCUGUUUUUGGUUUUAUUAUUUAUUUUUCCUUUAAUUUUGUGUUUUAUAUUUAAUUCUUUUUCUUUUGCUGGUAUUUUACGAUACUACAUAUUGUACAUGUUAUGCACAUAUAUAUAUAUAUAUAUAUAUAUAUAUAUAUAUAUAUAUAUAUAUAUAUAUAAAUAUAGCCAGUGGCAUUUGCCUUGGUGCCUUCAGAGCACGAUGACAAUUGGGAGUAGUUCAUUGGAGCGGUAGCUUGUAGUAGAAUUCUCCUUUGGGAUCUAGGACCUCAUCGAGCAAAAAUCCCGCUAUUUCCUCUUGAAGUGCUCGUAUGCGCUCCUCUGGUAGGCGCGUGUUCCGCACUGAAUCGAACUGUUAAGAAGGAGAUCAAUAUGCAUGUGUAUUAGUUAUGUACUAGAUAUCAAUAAUGACGUAAAAAUUGUGAAUAGUGUUCUGUCAAACGCGCGUACCCAUAGCUGUCUAUCAGUUUUGGUCCUCUUGAACGCCAUCAUGCGAAUGUUCUCGAGAAUGCAGUAUGCACAAUGAUCUCCCCCCCGUGCCUGCUUCAGGGCCUUUACGAGAAUAGAAUUUAAUCAGAUAAUAAUUAAUCAAGCAUGAUAAUUAAUGGUAUUGAAACUAAAAUUAAAGAGAUGCACUAGUGCAGAACCGGGCUAUAUAUAGCCUCGGUUCGUAAGGGGCUUUAGUGCCGGUUCUAUAGCCCGGAAUUAAAGAGAUGCAUGAUAGCUAGCUAGUACUACUUAAUUAAUUAUACCUUGGGUCGAAACCAAUACAACUUUUCUUUCCAUUCGCCUGGAACCUCUUUCGAAUUCCUGAACUUUGCCCAAGCCCUGCCCGCCGGCAAAGAAAAUGAAUAAACGAGUUAUUAAAUAGUUGAUAUCAGGAAAUGACAAACUAAAGAGGCCGACAUAUAGUUAAUAAUGUUUGAAAUUACCUGUCGACUAUCCCCUUCACGGUUGUGUAGUCUCUCUUAUCUUUAAGUAGUGAGUCCAGUACUUCAACUGUUCCUUCAUCAACUUUAAUGACUAACAAGAUCCAAUGGUAACUGCAUUUUCCGGUAGAAGCCUCCUCAAUGCAACCGGAAGCAGUUGCAUCAUAAUCACGUGACAUUCAUGAGACUUUAGGUUCUGAAACUUUUUCUCUGCCAUAUUUAUUAUUCCCUUUAUAUUCGACGAGAAGCCAGACGGUACCUUCAUACUGAGCAGGCAUUCAAAGAAGAUUUUCUUCUCUUCUUUGGUAAGAGCGUAGCUGGCCUGACCCUGAUAUAUGUCGUAUUUUCCGUGCAUACGUUGCUGGUCCUCCCGUGCCUCUGGUGUAUCUUUUGUCUUCCCAUACAUGCCCAAGAAACCAAGCAGGGUCACGCAAAGAUUUUUUAUCACGUGCAUCAUAUCGAUUGCGGAGCGGACCCCUAGGUCUUUUCAAUAGGGCAGGUCCCAAAAUAUAGAUUUCUUCUUCCACAUGGGUGCGCGUCCGUAAGCAUCCUUCGAAACAGGUUGUCCGGCAGGACCCUUUCCAAAGAUUACCUUCAAAUCCUUGACCAUAUCAUGCACAUCAGCACCAGUACGGUGGGAGGCUUCGUCCGGUGAUUCGCCUCACAUUUGAAAUGGUUGCCUUUCUUUCUUACGGGAUGCCCGCUCGGAAGAAAUCUACGAUGUCCCAGGUACACAUUUUUUCCUACAACUAUCCAAAUAUAUACUGUCGGUAUCAUCCAAACAGUGCGUGCAUCCGCGGUAUCCCUUGUUUGUCUGUCCUGAAAGGUUACUAAGAGCAGGCCAAUCAUUGAUGGUCACAACAACAACGUCUUUAGGUCAAAUUCUUCCUGUUUGUGCUCAUCCCAUGCACGUACACCUUUUCCAUUCCACAGUUGUAAUAGUUCUUCAACUAAUGGCCUUAGGUACACAUCAAUGUCGUUGCCGGGUUGCUUAGGGACUUGGAUGAGCACUGGCAUCAUAAUGAACUUCCGCUUCAUGCACAACCAAUGAGGAAGGUUAUACAAACAAAGAGUCACAUGCCACAUGCUAUGGUUGCUGCUCUGCUCCCCAAAAGGAUUAAUGCCAUAUGCGCUUAGACCAAACCAUACGUUCCUUGGGUCACCUGCAAACUCCUCCCUGUACUUUCUCUUGAUUUUUCUCCACCGCGACCCGUCAGCGGGUACUCUCAACUUUCCAUCUUUCUUACGGUCUUCUCCGUGCCAUCACAUCACCUUGGCAUGCUCUUUAUUUUGGAACAAACGUUUCAACUGUGAUAUUAUAGGAGCAUACCACAUCACCUUCACAGGAAUCUUCUUCCUGGGGCACUCGCCCUCGACAUCACCAGGGUCAUCGCGACUGAUCUUGCAGCGCAAUGCACCGCAUACCGGGCAUGCGUUCAAAUCCUUGUACUCACCGUGGUAGAGGAUACAGUCAUUAGGGAAAGCAUGUAUCUUCUGCACCUCUAAACCUAGAGGGCAGACAGCCUUCUUCGCUUUAUACGUACUCUCGAGCAAUUUGUUGUCCUUUGGAAGCAUAUUCUUUAUCAUUACCAGCAACUUUCCAAAUCCCUUGUCAGAUACACCAUUCUCUGCCUUCCAUUGCAGCGAUUUUAGUGUGGUGCCCAGCUUUUUCUUGUCACCUUUGCAAUUCGGGUACAACAAUUUCUUGUGAUCCUCUAACAUGCGCUGCAACUUCUUCUUCUCCUUUUCACUUGCGCAGUUUCUCUUUGCAUCGGCAAUGGCCCGACCUAGAUCAUCAGGAGGCUCAUCUGAUGCCUCUUCUUCAGCUUCUUCCCGCAUGGCCGGCUCAGCUUCUUCCCCCAUUGUUGUAUCAUCGUAUUCAGGGAACCCAUGGCCAGGAUAGCUAAUGUCGUCCUCUUCUUCUUCAUUGUCUUUCAUCAUAACCCCUCUUUCUUUGUGCUUGGUCCAAACAUUAUAGUGGGGCAUGAAACCGGACUCAAACAGGUGGACGUGAAUGGUUCUUGAGUUAGAGUAAUUGUGAUCAUUCUUACAGCCAGCACAUGGACAAGGCAUAAAACCAUCCGCCCCCUUGUUUGCCUGAGCUGCAAUCAGAAAAGUAUGCACACCAUCAAUGAACUAGGGAGAGCAUCGGUCAUCGUACAUCCAUUGCGCAUCUUCAUUACACACCACCGAAUAGACCAAAUUAAUACAAGUUCAGACAUAAAGUUCAUACAUAAAGUUCAUACAACACUUAAAUGCAACAUACAAAUAACUCUCUAGCUAAAGAAUUUAAAUGCAAAAACAAAUGUGAUCAAGAUCGCAACUAAGGUAACAAUUGAUCCAACAUCAUAAUGAUAGUAAGACACACUAUCAAUGGCAUAUUUUCUAAUCUUUCUAAUCUUCAACCGCAUUUUCUCCAUCGUGAUCUUGUGAUCAUCGACGACAUCGGCAAAUGCAAUUCCAAUUCCAUCUUCUCCCCCUUAAUUCUUUUCAAUUUUUCUUUCAAAUACUUGUUUUCUCUUUUAACUAAAUUUAACCUCUCGACAAUAGGGUCGGUUGGAAUUUCUGGUUCACAUACCUCCUAGAUAAAAAUAUCUAUAUCAACUUGAUGGGCACAAUUUGUCAUAAACACGAAAUGCAACAAAUAGUUUUAAAAGAGAAUAUACCACAUCCGAAUCAUAACACGGACGAGGGCCGACGGGGACGGAUAUCAAAACCAUGGCACUAUGUAUAACAAACAACAUACGCAUAAGAUAACUAUACAAGUAACUAUAUAUCUAAAUCACACAAACAUGAUUUUUUUAUAUAAAAAAGAUAAAAACAAGAGGCUCACCACAAGGUGGUGCCGGCGACGGGUCGGUGCGGACGAUCGACGGUGGUUACGACGGAGACGGGAAGGCACUAAGUAAACCACACCUACAUAUGCAAACUAAGAGUUAUUUUAAGCUCAAAUUGCAUAUAAAUCAAAUAAACUACCACAUAUAAUUCCUCCCAAAUUACUAAAAUCCACAAAUUAAUCACUAUAUAAAGCAUUGCAAGAGCUAAUCUAGCAAUGAGAGAUGAAAGGACAAAGUUGCUUACCCUUGUGAUCACUUGAAUGGAUGGGGGCCUUCAAAUCUUGACAAAUUUUGGGCAAAAUGUGUGAUAGAGCUUAAAGGGAAGAGAGGAAGAACAGAGAGGAGGAGAGGGGAAAGGGAGAAGAACAGAGCGAGCUGGACGAAGGGUUUAUAUGCAGGAUGACCUAUAGUACUGGUUCAUGGCAAGAACCGGUACUAAAGGUGCUGGAGGGGCCCCAGUCUGACAACAUCCUGCCACCACACCCUUUAGUACCGGUUCCUGGCACGAACCGGUGCUAAAGGUUCGCCAUGAACCGGUACUAAUGAGCUCUGCACCCUAGCCGUUGGAACCAGCACUAAUGGUCACAUUAGUGCCGAUUCUGGUACAAACCGGGACUAAUGUGCUUCACAUUAGGCCCUUUUUCUACUAGUGUGCACCAACUGACAGCUUCACCAUUCAAUAUAAAUAUGUAUCCGGAUUGCGACUUAGAGUCAUCCAGAUUAGUGUCAAAGCUUGCAUCAACGUAACCAUUACGACAAGCACUUUGUCACCUUCAUAAACGAGAAACAUAUCCUUAGUCCUUUUCAGGUAUUUCAGGAUGUUCUUGACCGAUGUCCAGUAAUCCACUCUUGGAUUACUUUGGUACCUCUCUGCUAUACUUAUAGCAAGGCACACAUCAGGUCUGGUACACAAAAUUGCAUACAUGAUAGAACCUACAGCUGAAGCAUAGGGAAUGGCUUUCAUUUUCUCUCUAUCUUCUGCAGUGGUCGGGCAUUGAGUCUGACUCAACUUCACACCUUGUAACACAGACAAGAACCCUUUCUUUGACUGAUCCAUUUUGAACUUCUUCAAAACUUUAUCAAGGUAUGUGCUUUGUGAAAGUCCAAUUAAGCAUCUUGAUCUAUUUCUAUAGAUCUCGAUGCCCAAUAUGUAAGCAGCUUCACCGAGGUCUUUCAUUGAAAAAUUCUUAUUCAAGUAUCCUUUUAUCCUAUCCAGAAAUUCUGUAUUAUUUCUAAUCAACAAUAUGUCAUCCACAUGUAAUAUUAGAAAUGCUACAGAGCUCCCACUCACUUUCUUGUAAAUACAGGCUUCUCCAAAAGUAUGUAUAAAAUCAUAUGCUUUGAUCAUAUUAUCAAAGCAUAUAUUCCAACUCCGAGAGGCUUGCACCAGUCCAUAAAUGGAUCGCUGGAGCUUGCACACUUUGUUAGCACCCUUUGGAUCGACAAAACCUUCUGGUUGCAUCAUAUACAACUCUUCUUUAAGAAAUCCAUUAAGGAAUGGAAUUUUGACAUGCAUUUGCCAAAUUUUAUAAUCAUAAAACAUGGCAAUUGCUAACAUGAUUCGGACAGACUUAAGCAUCGCUACGGGUGAGAGGGUCUCAUCGUAGUCAACUCCUUGAAAUUGUGAAAAACCUUUUGCAACAAGUCGAGCUUUAUAGACAGUAACAUUACCAUCAACGUCAGUCUUCUUAUUGAAGAUCCACUUAUUUUCUAUGCUUGCUGAUCAUCGGGCAAGUCCACCGAAGUCCAUUCUUUGUUCUCAUCAAUGGAUCCCAUCUUAGAUUUCAUGGCCUCAAGCCAUUUCACGGAAUCUGGGCUCAUCAUCGCUUCCUCAUAGUUCGUAGGUUCGUCAUGGUCUAGUAAUAUGACUUCCAGAAUAGGAUUACCGUACCACUCUCAUGCGGACCGUACUCUAUUUGACCUACGAGGUUCAGUAGUAACUUGAUCUGAAGAUUCAUGAUCAUCAUCAUUGGCCUCCUCACUAAUUGGUGUAGGAAUCACUGAAACUGAUUUCUGUGAUGAACUACUUUCCAAUUCAGGAGAAGGUACAAUUACCUCAUCAAGUUAUACAGUAGGCCAGUAGUGCUAACAUGUGCAGGACCAAAGAACGGUUCAAUCAUAGCACUACUACACAGAGCCACAAAUAAACAAGUCCUUGCCGCACCCAACUAACCAUGAUGUGGGCAUGACAUGGUGCAGACCUGCUGAAACUCGGCAUUCGUAUCUUACUUCUUAGUCAAAAUUAAAACCCUUUACUGUGUAUGAAAAUGGCCUUCAUCAGAUACAACAUCAUCAGAUACAAGGGAGAUCCGAAUGGUCGCCGCAUUUUUUGCAUGAUCGAUCUGCCACACCCAAGUUGAACAUGUUUAAAUUCAGUUAUAUGAGAAGUGUCAGUCAGGGUUAACUUUUCAAGGUUAAUAACUGUGGUUUUUUACUUUUGCGGGGAACAGAUUUUUACCAUUGUACCCUGUAUAUAUAUGCCCAAGAUAUCCUUCGUAGUUUCCUACAGAAUAUCUAUGAAUAUUAUUUGAGUCUUCUAUGAACUCUUUUAUGCAUGAUUAAGAUAGCUUUGUAUGUCUCUCUGAUCUAUCAAUUUGGUUUGGCCAACUAGAUUGGUUUUUCUUGCAAUGGGAGAGGUGCUUUGUGAUGGGUUCAAUCUUGCGGUGUCUAGACCCAGUGACAGAAGGGGUAGUGAGGCACGUAUUGUAUUGUUUCCAUUAAGGAUAACAAGAUGUGGUUUAUGUCAUAUUGCUUGAGUUUAUCCCUCUACAUCAUGUCAUCUUGCUUAAUCCUACUAGAUUGAUACCUUGGUUCUUAACUAAGGAAAAUACUUAUCUCUACUUUGAUGCAUCACCCUUUCCUCUUCAAGAAAAAAUCAACACAAACUCGAGAAGUAGAAGUUUACCCAGGUUCAGGGCCCUCUGUGGGAGGUAACAGUUCUAGUCCUGCAUGUCUAGUGUAUAUGCAAUGUGUAUCAUAGUACAGAUGUUCUCCUAGAACUGUUUAGAGGAGGAAGAAGGAGGCUGGGAGCGCUCCUCUUCUCCGCCUUAUGUGUGAGUGUGUGAGAAUGAGAGAGUGAAAGGGCGUGUGCCUGAUGGCAAAAGGGUUCCCUAGGUCACCUUAUAAAGGGGUGCCCAGGGGACAAGAGGUGUCCCACAUGGCCGAACUACAUUGUUGGAGGGACACAAGACGUGUGAACAGUGCCAGUUGCUCAUCUCUGUGACAACCUCUCAUCCACAGUGCUCUACUAUAGAGCAUUGCCGUCACGUCUGCGCAGGUCCGACGGGAUGUCUGAGUUUGACUUUGACAGAUUCCAGCCGGACGGGCUCCACCCGGACGGCUCCACCUGGACAGCUCCACGCAGACACGACUGAAGCCACACGGCUCAUAUUUAAAGAGACACAAGAGGUUUUAGCACCGGCAGCCAGGGGCACUCUCCUGGCAAAGUUUUGAAGUGUCGUUUUGUCUAUUUGAGCCUACCCGGGGGUCAUCCCUCGACAUAACUACAAAUAACUAUCGAAUAAAUACAAUGUGGUGAAGUGCGUCAUUCGAGGGGGGGGGGGGCAUAUGGCCCAUGUCUAUGUUGGAUUUUGUUCUGCAAAUCAAUUGUUUGUAGUUUAUUUAAAUAUAUAUUGGGACCUUAUUUAAGAUGGUCCCUAGGCUGCUGCACCUUUUGCCAUGGCCUAGGGCCAGCCCUAGCUGCGAUGGCACAGAAAAGGAAGAAGAGCUAGUAAAUACUACUAUCCAUUGAUACUACCAGCGGCGAAUCUGUGACUGCUUUCAUAGGAUGAUUUAUGAAGAAUCCAAUGUUGCUACUUCUUGGUUGCUUCCUUAUGGUAGUAUUUCUUCACUUCAAGUUUUUGGAGCCAAACAAAAAAGAUUAAACUUAUUAUGUGGUGUUAGUCAGAUUAUAUAUUGGCUUGAUGCCUUCCAUGCAUUUUACAGAAUAUGCUAGGUAUGUUGCAGCAGAAUUAAAUAGCAUGAAUAGGCAAUCUAUACAGUUGACCAGCAGUGCUUACAUGUGCAUGACCCAAGAGGCCAAGAACAUAUCAGUCAUAGCAUGAAGCCAUGAACUGAACUAGUCCCUAUAAUUACUAAGCUCCCACGAAUUGGAGCGUUGUGGUUGAUUGUGGCUGGUUGGACCACGGUAACUCGCUAGGUUGGGCCUUCACUGCCCUCGCAUGACCCUACGUGUGUCCAGACUCUCAAAAAAGGAAGAAAAUAAUCUACAUGUGGUGUGUCCAGGCCCCACCAACCACCUAUCGCCUCUAUCUCUCUCACUGCCUCUACUCCCCAAAUCCACCGCGGUCGCCUCUCAGUUCCUUUCCCUUCUAUGAAUCUAUGACCUCCCCAACGAAUCCACGCCACCGCAGUGGAAUACGGCGCUUUUCGCGACCUCUCCACCCUCGCGUCGUAGCUCUUCAUUUUCUACAAGUGUUAGUUUGUCCCUUCCUGGCCUCCAGACCUCUACCUCCUUUGGCUGCUCUGGAAGGACGCCCUUCCCCCACCCCUGUCUCUCUCUCUCUCUCCUUGUAACGAUAGUGGUGGAUGAAGGCAUCCUCGGUGUCGGUGGUGAAUUAAAUCUCCCUCCCUGGCGGCUGUGGUGGACGAGCGCAUUGUUGGGAACGUAGUAUUUCAAAAAAAAAUCCUACAUCACACAAGAUCUAUGUAUGUAUGCGAUGCAUGGCAACGAGAGGGGAGAGUAUGUCCACGUACCCUCGUAGACCGAAAGCGGAAGUGUUUAGUAACACGGUUGAUGUAGUCGAACGUCUUCACGAUCCAACCAAUCCAAGUACCGAACGUACGGCACCUCCGCGUUCAGCACACGUUCAGCUCGAUGACGUCCCUCAUGCUCUUGAUCCAAUUGAGGACGAGGGUGAGUUCCGUCAGCACAACCACGUGGUGACGACGAUGAUGAUGCUACCGGUGCGGGGCUUCGCCUAAGCACUGCAACGGCAUGAUUGAGGUGUAUAACUGUGCAGGGGGCACCGCACACGGUCAGGAAAGAAACUUGUGUAUUCUAGGGUGCCCCCCUGCCCCCGUAUAUAAAGGAGGGAGGAGGAGGAGGGCGGCCAAGGAGAGGGCGCACCUAUAGGGGGAGUCCAACUAGGAUUCCCAAUCCUAGUUGGAGUCCCCUUCCUAUUCCAAGAAGGGCGAGAGGGAAAGAGGCGGAGAGGGAGAAGGAAAGAGGGGGGGGGGGGCGCCCCCCUCCUAGUCCAAUUCGGACCAGCCAUGGGUGGGGGGCACCCUGCAGCCCUCCUCUCCUUUUCCACUAAAGCCCAUAAGGCCCAUUAAUCCCCCGGGGGAUUCCGUUAACCUCCCGGUAUUCCGGAAAAUGCUCGAACCAUUCUGAAACCUUUCCGAUGUCCGAACAUAACCUUCCAAUAUAUUUAGAUACAUUAAAACUGCACACUUUUCCAGCACUCACAAGCCAUCAGUGUUUCCGGCCGUCGGAUCACCACUUUUAGGCAGUUUUGGCCAUUAGAUUAGCUCUUAAUCCCAUCUCUGGUUGCUCUGAUCGAUACAAACGAGCGCUAACAUCUUGGGCUGCUGCUCUGGUGACAAUUUUGGGCGUUGCGUAUUAAAUUGGGCUUCAGUCUCCACUAAAGGCAGCCCAUGUAGCUGACUGGAUUGAGAUACAAUACAAGGGUGUGCGCUACCUUAACCACACCUGACACCUCACCCCUUCCAACCCCUAAAAAUAACCUACCGACCUCCGUUCUCUCGCGCCUCUUCCUCUCCUACGCCGAUCACACCUUUGGCGGCGGCACUUCUUCCUCUCCCACGUGGAUGGCAACCACGACGGUGAUACAUCAGUUUCCCCACGCUCGUCGCGGCCCUCCCGCGCGCAGGCUCCAGGGGCGCGCACAACGCCUGCGCCAGUGGCGGGAACGCCGGAUCCUGUUCUCGUGGAACCACAGCGGGCAGUGUAGUCCCGUCGGCACCGUCUAAGGAGCGCAACGGCGAUGUACCAAUCCAGAUCCACAGGUAGAUUAUUCUGUCCUUUGAACGUGCAACAGAUUUCGAGAUCUAGGUUGUUCGUUAGAUUGACAUGUUUAUUUGGAGUUUAACAUGCAUCUACGUCGACUCGUCGACUCUUGGCAGGUGACCCUGAACUUGGAGAAUGAAACCUCAUACAAGAGCUGGUGAUGACCCCUAGGUUGGUAGUUCUGGUACGUGUGUUAACUCCAUAGAAAGAGGAAAAGCUGCAUUCAGCUGAUGGAUCAUGCCUUCAUGCGUGAAUUAUAAUCAUUUCCUAUAGGUAUAUAUUUUUGGCAUGAUGAUUUGAGUGUUGAUCUGUACCUUGUAAUAGGCUAAUAGGUUUAGUAAUUACUUCUGGCAGUAGAUUAGUCGUUCUGCUGAUAUAGUCUAUAUGUGGGCAGAAACAUGUUUUGUGUUUGCCGGCAUUUUGGUAUUGCCCCCCAAAGGCUUGAACUCGAAUAAUGUGUCCUGUUAUCUCAGUAAUGAGAUCCGGGUUGAUUCCAAUUGAAAGCACUGCACAGAGUAUAAUUAGAAACUUGGUAUGUCGUAUGCAUAUUUUAGAAACUAAUAUUUUCAUGGUUGGUGGUAGAUAUUGAUAUGUCGCAGAAAACAUUUUUUACACUUAGUAUAAUUAGAAAUAAGAUUCAGUGAACACACAGGAUGACCCAUUUGAAAUAUGUCUUUUUAAGUCAAACUAAACGCUUAUGGUUGGAUAGUCUCUCUGUAAGAACUGAACACUUAUGUGCUAUAGGUAUAUGAAUUUGUUUAGUACUGCCUUUUCCGUUUUGACAUGCGAAUGUUUCCUGUCUUCUGUUACAGAUUCAGAAAUAAGAAGUUGCCCUAAUAGAUUUUUCAACCAUUGUAUCAUUGCAUCAUGAUGCUUUGAAAGAUGAUGCAACUACGAUCAAUAUUCAGAUGAUCUCUUUCAGCUUAACAUGUUCGAUAUAUUGAACAGUGCUAUUUUACUAUGAGCUGACCCUGAUCCUCUUAAACUAUCGUAUCAUACAUUGAUGUGCCUUUUAGUUUUGUAAUUUGCCGCUAAUAUUUCUACUUGUGUGGCUUUUUUUAGGUUUGAAGUUGAUUGGUCCUUUUUUUAGGCCGGUGUUUAUUUGUCCUGAAUGAAGGUCUAUUGGGAUCCUAAGCAUCAUAUUGGCUCAUUGUGACAACAACGAAUACUCAGAAGCGUGGUAGGUUGUCCAUCUCAUCUCCAAUCUCCAAUUUUGAAAGAAUAUAUGUAUUACUUCUUAAUCAAAGAAAAUGAGCAUACAUGUGUGUUUUCUGGACUUGAUUUUACAAUAAGAUGUUUUUUAACUGUAGUUGGACAAUAAGAUGAUGAUUGUAAGUCCCGCCUGUUAAUUCAUAAUGAGGUCUCUAAAUUUCUGUUUUUUCACUUGAUAGGUGAUGUACAAUGCUUUCUGGUAUGAGAUUGCUUGUCUGCAAUUUCGUUGCAUCAGUCUCAUCUCAAUGAUGUUCACAUUUUUUUAUUAUUAUAUGCAGAUUUUGUCUUUAUUUUCUCCGUUCUUUCGUUGCUGAGCCAAAUAGUAUAAACAUAUUAUUGAACAUGCUUUGGCGGAAACAUCAAACAAGACUAUUUAUUACAAAAUUGCAGAUGGACUCGUUUGAUAUGGUGGCUCAGAUGAGAACACUAUAUGCAAGAAGGAUCAAAUUAUGAGUGUAUAGUUUUCGCAUUAGCUUUUGUGUGAUUUCCUUUUGCUAACACCCCGCUAUUUAGGAUUUGAAGAGCAUGAUGAUUUGCAUGCAUCUUCCCUUUAGGUGUCACAAGGUAUUGAGGUUCGACAUCAAAGGUGCAUAGGAUAUUGUUAUAUCGUUGCCCACCGAUAUCUCAUAAGAUACAUUACUUAUGUUGUAUUUGCCUUGCAAUUUUGCAAUCUACCACAAUGAUACGAUCUCCUCAUAUAAAAACGAACAAAAAGCAGGUUACGGCAGGAAUGAUUCUCACAACCAUUUUUCAAUUGUGCAUUUCCUUAUUUUGCUCACAUUUUUGCUACUCAAUAUUUGAUGAGCAUGAUGACUUCCAUGACUUCCCUUUUAGGUGUUGCAAGGUAAUGAUGAUGUUUCACUUCCAUUGUUGCAGAACAUAUGGUUCCUUUGAGAUCAAUCUUCCAUGGUAAUUUCUUGUGCAGUUGUCAUUUCUGUCAUUUCUUCCACUGAAUGUGGUGGCCCCUUUCUUAGAUGUUUGCAAAGGUUUCAUUAUCCCACCAUGUACUCAGUUGAACUACCAAAACGUCUUACAUUUAUAUUAAGAACGGAGGGAGUAAUGCUUAUCAUAUGUCUUGGCAGUAGUAAUUAGUUGUAUUUACUAUGAAUGUUGUUGUGCCAAUUGCAAGCUAACUUGUAUACUUUUAUGGUUUUGUGGACUAUAUAUGAGAUUUCUUUUGAUUACUCACUAAUGUAUUGUUACGUUUAUGAAAAUUUAAAAUGUAUCAUGUGAUUACAUAUUUAUGAAAAUUCAGAUCAUUUCAUUGUACAAACUGACGGGCGUGGCAACGCGCGCCAUCAAUGAUCUAGUCAAUCGUUAUGUCUCGACCAUUUCAAGACUCCUCGUCACGUCCGUGAUCUCAUCCGGGACUCCAAACAACCUUCGGUCAUCAAAACACAUAACUCAUAAUACAUAUUGUCAUCGAACGUUAAGCGUGCGGACCCUACGGGUUCAAGAACUAUGUAGACAUAAUCGAGACACAUCUCCGAUCAAUAACCAAUAGCGGAACCUGGAUGCUCAUAUUGGCUCCCACAUAUUCUACGAAGAUCUUUAUCGAUCAAACCGCAUAACAACAUACGUUGUUCCCUUUGUCAUCGGUAUGUUACUUGCCCGAGACUUGAUCAUCGGUAUCUUCAUACCUAGUUCAAUCUCAUUACCGGCAAGUCUCUUUACUUGUUCGGUAAUGCUUCAUCCCGCAACUAACUCAUUAGUCACAUUGCUUGCAAGGCUUAUAGUGAUGAGCAUUACCGAGAGGGCCCAGAGAUACCUCUCCGAAAUAUGGAGUGACAAAUCCUAAUCUCGAUCUAUGCCAACUCAACAAACACCUUCUGAAACACCUGUAGAGCAUCUUUAUAAUCACCCAUUUACGUUGUGAUAUUUGAUAGCACACCUGGUGUUCCUCCGGUAUUCGGGAGUUGCAUAAUCUCAUAGUCUGAGGAACAUGUGUAAGUCAUGAAGAAAGCAGUAGCAAUAAACUUCAACGAUCAUUAUGCUAAGCUAACGGAUGGGUCAUGUCCAUCACAUCAUUCUCUAAUGAUGUGAUCCCGUUCAUCAAAUGACAACACAUGUCUAUGGUUAGGAAACAUAACCAUCUUUGAUUAACGAGCUAGUCUAGUAGAGGCAUACUAGGGACCAUAUGCUUUGUCUAUGUAUUCACACAUGUACUAAGUUUCCGGUUAAUACAAUUCUAGCAUGAAUAAUAAAAAUUUAUCAUGAUAUAAGGAAAUAUAAAUAACAACUUUGUUAUUGCCUCUAGGGCAUAUUUCCUUCACGCAUCCUCCGCAGCGGCGGGGAAUCGGGUAAUGGCACACAUGUCUCUCCUAGAGCCUUUCUUCCCAAUCCUCUCAUUGAACGACGCACAUCGGUGGCUGGGCGAGGGACGUUCUAGAACUGGCCAACUCUGGUGGCACCCUGGGCUUGAUGGCACUGAUACAUCCCUAGCACAAGUCGUAAUCGGCGGCGUCGAUGGGUGGCAUCGUAUAGCUGGUCGAGGGCCCUCUUGUUCAAGCAUCGCAGGAUUCGGCCCCUCUACGCGGGAUAGUAGUGAUAGUACUUUAUACAUCUCCUCCCACAAAUCUGCAAUGUUGUAGUAUAUAACAGUUGGGCAAUUCAUUUGGAUGUCGGUUUGAUCAGAAGUGGGCAACAUUUUGGAUUUGCUUUUGAUUAUUAUUGUUCCAGUUUAGAGGAGGAAAUCGUACUGCCACCACAUUCUGUUAGUAUUUGCAGAGGGCUUCAUGUGGUCCCAAGUUUUCUAAAAUUUCAAGAAAGUGCUUUCUAAUGUUGAUCUGAUGUGGUUCUAUAAUUUUACCACCUACUAACAGAUGUUUUGUGUGCUGACUUCUGCUUGUGUGCUAAGCAGAUCAGAUCAAUCUACUGAUGAAGAGAAAAUCACGCUGGUUUGCGAGGCGUUGGUUUGUCCUGGAUAUUAUCAUGAAAAAGAAGCAUGCAAUUGUGAGAGCACACUAGCAUGCAAUUGUGAAUCCUUAAAUUUUUGCACCCAGUGAUUGCCACCUACUAUUGAUUUAAUAUUGUUGUAUAACUAGUGCUUCUGAUUUGCAACUCCCUUGAUAUCUGUUGAUUGUCUACUAAGGGCAACUCUAACCGAUCCCCUAUCUGGCGCUAAGGGAGGAUAAUUUCGGUUAUCCUCCCUUACAACGCACCUAGCUGAUCCCUAAACCUCGUAAGGACGAUAAAUUGUCCUCCAAUGCCCAAGACCCCCCACCCCCAAUCUCCCUAAAUAUACUCACGCGGAGAUCUUACCCAAUUGGAAGCCUCUCUUCGGAAUGGUGGUGGUGGUGGUGGUGGUGAUGGUGGCCGAGAGGAUGGUGGUGGUGAUUUCUUCUCUGAGGACCUCAUUUGAGUGGUGGUGGCCGAGGGGGUGGUGGUGCGUGCAGUUGGUUGGCUCGAUCCACAACUUAUACAUGCUAUGUUUGUGGUGAUUUUAGAUCAAACAUUGUGUUUGAAGUGAUGCAUUUUGGGUGAACUAUGCAUAUUUUAUUUCAAAAUCGCGAUGAUGAAACUAUAUGUUAUGAUGGUUAUGUCAUGCAUGUUUGAAUUUCAAUGUUUUAGUGAUGUAUAUUGUGAAGUGUUUGAAGUUCACGCGGCUAGAACAAAAAGCCUAUAUCAUUUUUGUUACUCCACUAAGUUUAGGGGAUCAGCUAGGUGCGGCCACCUAUAGAGAAGGAUAAUUUUUCUCCACUAACUUUACUCGGCUAGAUACUCCACUAACUUAUAGGGGAUCGGUUAGAGUUGCCCUAAGCAGAACUGAAUGCCACUCGCUUUUGGGUUAGAUGAUACAGGCUCACGUACAUGCUCAUUUUACCUUUUUCUACUACAGAUUCAGGAAGGUGGGCUGUGUUCUUUUGUAGAGCAAGAACAUCUGAGCUUCUUCCUUUGCGUGAUGUUGCUUAGUUAAUAAGAGACCUCACACCUGUGCUAGCAAACACAUAGUACUAAUACUGCUAUUUAACCGUGCUUAUGCCUGCUAUUUUUAUACUUUAAGGACAACAUGUGUAUGAUCUAUUUCCAAUUACUUACAGUUUAGUUCUGACCAUAUAUCUUUGCAAUCUAUUUGUGUUCUGAACUGUUUGCUAACAAUUUAUUGUUCUUCAUAUCACUGCUACCACCUGUACACACAUUCAUAUGCGACCUGGUACCAACUGUACACACAUUCAAAUUUCAGCAAAUCAGUAGGAUUCUAGAUAGAAGGAAAACAAAACUAGGAGUAGUACCACACAUAAAGAGAAUCUAUCUUGGAUUAAUAAAAUUAUGCAUGAAACCACAAGAGCAAUUUACCAGUUCAUCAACUAUGCUAUACUUUUCACAGCUUCAGUUUCUUCAGUUGUCGCAUGAACAUAUAUGCUAUUUUGCUUUGGCUAGAUCAGGAUUGAUUAGCUGGCCAUUUAAGUACAUUCUUUUGGUUUUGCUCAUUACUGCUAUUUCCUCAUAUGUUAUGCAAGAGAUAAUGACUUGGAGCAUGAACUAGAACAGAAGUUCUUAUCAAAUGUUUUUUGGCCUUGCAGUCCUUCCUUGGAGCAUGAAAUGGAACAGAAAUUCAGCGUCAACCAUGUCAUUAUUUUCUCCCAGUAUUUGUACCUGACCACUAACGUUCUCAUCACAUUAUUUGUCAUUAAUUGUUUAAAGAGCAGUAUAGCAAAUUAUAAAGAUAUAACAUUUUCUUGUAGAUCCAAAACGAUCUCACUCCUUUAGCAAGGUCUCCAUGGACUAACACUACUGUGUCAGUCAUCCUCCAGUGUUCCAUUUGUUGUGAAAAUGAAGGAACCCGUGCUAAGGAGAAACAAAUUUAGUUUAGGUCGGAUAGUAGAUGUAAAUUAGUUUUGGUUGCAUGUUCAAAGUAACUAUAUUAAGCUCAUCAUAAAUCAUACUUAGUUCUUAGAGAAGAAGCCUCAUAGUUGUGAGUAAAUCAUAUUGUCAGAACUGUGCUAUUUUCACAGUUCAUCAUUACUACAAACUAUGCCUAAUGGCUUGCAUUUUUUUUCUUGCAAAAUUUACAUUUGAAUCUUUGAGAAAUAUGCGCAUGUCAGUCCAAAUCUUGUUAGGCCAUUUGAUGUGUGGCAUGUUUAGUACAGUCAAGGGCCACUACCCUUUGUAUUCCCCGACUCCAUCCGGCUCACGCUGACGAUCCAGUGACCCCAAAACCUGGAUAUCACAUAGAAAAGACCUGUCGUAAAAUAGAAAGACUUUCCGCUGGGUCAAAAUUGAUAGAGCAAUCCAAUCACACUGAAUUCAUCAAACGUAAAAACAACUGUUGAUCAAUAGACGUCACACUUCUGUGUUCCCGGCGCGGCAAAGCACGCGUAUCCCUCUAGUGGUACUACACAGAGCCACAAAUAAACAAGCCCUUACUGCACCCAACUAACCAUGAUGCGGACAUGACAUGGUGCAGACCUGCUGAAACUGGGCAUUCGUAUCUUAUUUCUCAGUCAAAAUUAAAACCCUUUACUGGCCACCAAGGGUUCAAUUCUCUCACUGGGUCAUGCAUCUCUCUUCUUUUAUAGGCGCAUUGCUCUCACGUAUUGUGGAACCCCUGUAACUGUAAUUGUCCAGCAUUACUAUUGGGCAAUCACCCAAAUACUGCACCUGAGUCUAAAAUCAUGAUUAACACCUGUCAGUUUCCUUCCCAAUCCACGCAGCGCAGGCAGGAUCGGAAUCCGAAUUAACGGAUGUUUUGGUGCUUCAAGUUGUCAGCGUGCAGCAGAGCAGGCCAUGACCAGUAUGAAAAUGCCCAUGAUCCGAAUCGUCGUCGCAUUUUUUGCAUGAUUGAUCUGCCACACCCGAGUUCAACAUGUUUAAAUUCAGUUAUAUGAGAAGUGUCGGUCAGUGAAAACUUUUCAAGGUUAAUCACUAUGGUUUUUUACUUUCGUUAAGAACAGAUUUUUACCACAUAUCCUUCGUAGAUUCGUACAGAAUCUUGCUGCAGUUGUGGCUAACAAUUUCGGCCAAAUCGUGGCUCGUUCAUGUGCCUUGGCACACAUUUGUCACUCUAUUACUGACGAUGAGUUCAGCAACUGUGUAUACAAAAUUUUAGAAGGGGAUUUUUGGUAGCUUUGGUCAAAUUCGGGCAGCAAUUGCAGUGCACUACGAAUCUGAACAUUGUCGGAGCGCAGGACACAAGGAUUGUUUCAACGUAUAGGACAUACAAAGGUCAGAAUUCAGAGACAACUCUGCAAACUUGCUGUAUGUGCAGCAUUACAAGUACCGCACUAGAAGCACAACUACUACAAUAGAAAGGCGCACGCCAGUGCUAAUUUCAAACUCUUUUAAGCUACCAAAACUGAUCAAGAUCCACAAACAAAGAGCACCGUCAUCAUGUUCUAAAAGCAAAAAUCUCUAACAAAAUAAUGAAAAUUAUGAUCCAACCAUGGCGCGUUCGAUGAUGUCCUGCUAGCAACAUUUCCUAUGUGAGGCACACCAGAAGUAACUAGCAUCCAAAGAAGUGGCAUGCAUUCAUCCAAGUUUUACACUAACAGAUAUUAGAACCAAAGGUUUUAAUUUUCAAAACAUUGGCAGUGAAGAAAAAAAAUACGAUUUGCCGCAUAACAUCAUCAGCAGAAUUUCAGACAUCAUAUCGUCAGCAGACAAGUGGUCCUUUACUAAAUCACUGAAUAAGGUGCUUAUCACUCCCAUGACUGCAAAUGGAAUAUAAAAGUUUAAGCCUGGGGAUUUGGAUAACAAAGUUUAAGCCCAAUAAUGAUCAUAAUUUGGAUAACAAAGUUUACUACGUGAGGCUAACAAAUGCAUGGAGGUUGCCCAUAUCAGAAACCAAUACAGAUCACAGAAAGUUCAGUACAAAUUACGAAAGAUAAUCAGUGAAAUUCCCUCCAUACUGAACCACCAUUGCUCCAAACUCAGAGCAUGCAUACAUCAGCCAGAGAAACCGAGAGCCAAAUAAAAGCAGACAUACCAAGCCCACUGCUCCAUAGCACGAAUAACUGAACCCGAUCAGAGAUCCACUUCUUAUGAAGGCACCAGCAU